rnacentral:rRNA from 1 species
AGGAGGAAUGGCUUAAAGGGGUGCGCGAGCUUCUUUCGUGCAUUCGCUCCAGGAUGGGACUGCGACCGAUCAGGCUGUUGGCGGGGUAAUGGCCCACCAAACCUGUAACCGGUACGGGCCUUGAGAGAGGGGGCCCGGAGAUGGACACUGAGAGAAGGGUCCAGGUCCUACGGGGCGCAGCAGGCGCGAAACCUUCGCAAUGCGCGAAAGCGUGACGAGGUUAAUCCGAGUGGUCCCCGCUUAGGGGAUCUUUUUCCGGCUGCAAAAAGGCCGGGGAAUAAGGGGAGGGCAAGUCUGGUGUCAGCCGCCGCGGUAAUACCAGCUCCUCGAGUGGUCGGGGCGAUUAUUGGGCCUAAAGCAUCCGUAGCCUGUUCUGUAGGUCUUCCGUUAAAUCCAGCGGCUCAACCGUUGGCAGGCGGGGGAUACCGCAGGACUAGGAGGCGGGAGAGGUGGGCGGUACUCUACGUGUAGGGGUAAAAUCCUUUGAUCCGUAGAAGACCACCAGUGGCGAAGGCGGCCCACCAGAACGCGCUCGACGGUGAGGGAUGAAAGCUGGGGGAGCGAACCGGAUUAGAUACCCGGGUAGUCCCAGCCGUAAACGAUGCGAGCUAGAUGAUUCAGUCGCAAAUCGCGAUUGAAGUGUCGCAGGGAAGCCGUUA